rnacentral:rRNA from 1 species
GAUGAACGCUGGCGGCGUGCCUAAUACAUGCAAGUCGAGCGAACAGACGAGGAGCUUGCUCCUCUGACGUUAGCGGCGGACGGGUGAGUAACAUGUGGAUAACCUACCUAUAAGACUGGGAUAACUUCGGGAAACCGGAGCUAAUACCGGAUAAUAUAUUGAACCGCAUGGUUCAAUAGUGAAAGACGGUUUUGCUGUCACUUAUAGAUGGAUCCGCGCCGCAUUAGCUAGUUGGUAAGGUAACGGCUUACCAAGGCGACGAUGCGUAGCCGACCUGGGAGGGUGGUCGGCCACGCUGGAACUGAGACACGGUCCAGAGUCCUACGGGAGGCAGCAGUAGGGAAUCUUCCGCAAUGGGCGAAAGCCUGACGGAGCAACGCCGCGUGAGUGAUGAAGGUCUUCGGAUCGUAAAACUCUGUUAUUAGGGAAGAACAAAUGUGUAAGUAACUAUGCGCGUCUUGACGGUACCUAAUCAGAAAGCCACGGCUAACUACGUG